rnacentral:rRNA from 1 species
GGGCGUAAGCGCAUGCAGGUGGUUUGUUAAGUCAGAUGUGAAAGCCCGGGGCUCAACCUCGGAACCGCAUUUGAAACUGGCAGGCUAGAGUACUGUAGAGGGGGGUAGAAUUUCAGGUGUAGCGGUGAAAUGCGUAGAGAUCUGAAGGAAUACCAGUGGCGAAGGCGGCCCCCUGGACAGAUACUGACACUCAGAUGCGAAAGCGUGGGGAGCAAACAGGAUUAGAUACCCUGGUAGUCCACGCCGUAAACGAUGUCUACUUGGAGGUUGUGGCCUUGAGCCGUGGCUUUCGGAGCUAACGCGUUAAGUAGACCGCCUGGGGAGUACGGUCGCAAGAUUAAAACUCAAAUGAAUUGACGGGGGCCCGCACAAGCGGUGGAGCAUGUGGUUUAAUUCGAUGCAACGCGAAGAACCUUACCUACUCUUGACAUCCAGAGAACUUAGCAGAGAUGCUUUGGUGCCUUCGGGAACUCUGAGACAGGUGCUGCAUGGCUGUCGUCAGCUCGUGUUGUGAAAUGUUGGGUUAAGUCCCGCAACGAGCGCAACCCUUAUCCUUGUUUGCCAGC